AUUGAACGCUGGUGGCAGGCUUAACACAUGCAAGUCGAGCGGGGGAAGGUAGCUUGCUACCGGACCUAGCGGCGGACGGGUGAGUAAUGCUUAGGAAUCUGCCUAUUAGUGGGGGACAACAUCUCGAAAGGGAUGCUAAUACCGCAUACGUCCUACGGGAGACAGCAGGUGAUCUGCGGACCUUGCGCUAAUAGAUGAGCCUAAGUCGGAUUAGCUAGUUGGUGGGGUAAAGGCCUACCAAGGGGACGAUCUGUAUCGGGUCUGAGAGGAUGAUCCGCCACACUGGGACUGAGACACGGCCCAGACUCCUACGGGAGGCAGCAGUGGGGAAUAUUGGACAAUGGGGGGAACCCUGAUCCAGCCAUGCCGCGUGUGUGAAGAAGGCCUUAUGGUUGUAAAGCACUUUAAGCGAGGAGGAGGCUACUCUAGUUAAUACCUAGGGAUAGUGGGCGUUACUCGCAGAAUAAGCACCGGCUAACUCUGUGCCAGCAGCCGCGGUAA
rnacentral:rRNA from 1 species